ACAGCACCGGGUGCUCAAUUGAGGCUGAGUCCACCUAGGGGAGGCCCCACGACCGGUUCAGAUGAUCGUCACCGGUGUUGGCCGUGAGCGGGUGGCUGGGUUCGUAGCGCAGCGCGCCAACCGCAUACAUGGACACAUGGCGCUUCGCAUUUUUUUGAACACUUAUAUGCGACCAUCGUUUUUUUACGUGAAAAAGAAUGGCUAACAAUAGACUGUCACGUGAUAACAAAUGUAUGUUGGUUGCUUCAAAGAGUCUCCCACUUGUUCGCCAUCAUUCUCAAGGCGCCGCCUGGAAUCUUUUCGAGUUGUUCUCAUGAAGAACCCCCGGGCGGAGCGCAUUUUUUCGUGCUGUUUGUUGCAAAUUCUCAGAAGUGAUUGAAAUAACAAACAUUUUUUUUUUUGCUAAGCGCCCUGCGUAACGUUGACAAAACAUGCGUCGUUGGUUAGUUUUGUAUUGAUGUGAAGCUUUCGUGACUGCAGGAAUCCAUACUCUUUGGUUCUUUCGGUAAAAUCGUUUUUAUUUUAUACCGACGUGACUUUACCGAAAUAAUCAAAGAGUAGAGUUAUUUAUUGCUGAUUAUUUUUAAGCUCCCCAGCUUUCAGUCGCCCGCAGCUACGAUCAGGCCCUAUACCCCCACCUCCCACCCUCUAAAUUCUUCCUUACCAAUCCCUCUUGCUUGACUGCCAUCAAAACUACGCCACCGCUCACAAUAACCCAAUUGUUCAUCUUCAAAUCAUAUUAUCGCCCUCCGUCACAAUUAUAUAAUUGCCCGUAAAAAAAAACAUAUAAGUCUCGGAAAAGCCGCCGCCGUAUGACAUCUCGUUGAGAUGAGAAGAUCGGAUUUCGUUUUUCUUUCUUGCGCUCCGACUUUAUCAUACACGUGGUGUAAAAAAAACACAAUUCGAUAAAAAAAAAUAGUAAAUAGCCCGUUGGAUGGAUAAGGAGGAGGAGGAAAAUCAAUUGAUGGGCCCUGUAGACCCAUGACGGCAAACUAAAAAAUUUAACUUCCGUGAUUGCAGGAAUUCAUAUUCUUGGUUAUUUCGGUAAAGUCAUCACGUAGAUAGAAGGGCUCCUCUUUUCUCUCCGCCUGAAGAAGACCGCUCGUGUUGCGAUCGAAACGUCGUGGCUUUUUUGCUUUCAUUAUUUUUAAUUUAAUUUUUAUUUUCACACUCUCUCUACGUGACUUCACCGAAAGAACCAGAAAUAGAAGACCAAAAAAAUCACCCGUCAAGGUAAUUCAACUCGACGUGGAUUGUCUCCGUGGCUGACGAAGAGGUGCGCCACCUACUACAGCCUACCAGCGGACAACCGGGCAUAUCCAGCGAGACGUUUUGAGUCCUGGCCGGGGCCACGCGGCAGUGAAGAGGUCAAUAUCGCAGCGACCCCGGCACGCCUUUGGCUAUUUUCACCGCCGUGGGAUGGGAGGGAUGGCCACGGUGAAGUCCACGGCCGGACGAACGCCUUCCAGACGGACGAAAUCUCCGAUGCUGCGAUGCAACGACUCCACAUUGUCAGCUGCACGUGACCUCGUUUCACCGCUCCGUCUCCACGCAGGGGCGCGCCGUUCAUUUCCCGCCGCUCCGUUGUGACAAAUGUAUUCGCCUUUUUAUUUCAGACCACCGGUCUCUGGCACCGAUCUUUCUAUUACUCCCUAACUUACGAGUCUACUGGACUUGUUCGACACGCGGAGGAGUCGAAGUUGCGCAAUUCCGCUGGGCGAGCAGUCGGUUCGGGUCGAGGGUUGACUUUCGGAUAGGCGUGGGACGGCGGAUCGUCCCGCGACCCAUCCACGCCGCCACUUGCACCCACCACGAGCCGAGCGAGCCGAGCGAGAGGAAUCUUCAUCGAGGUGGGGGGGGCGGGGUGAGAACCGUGAAGAUAUCGGCGAUGAUGUGGUCCAUCCGCAAUGACGAAGAUAAUGCUCACGAUGACAAUGGCAAAGAUGACAUCGAUGAUGAUGAUGAUGAGGAUGAUUUCAGUUAAAUCAAGAGUCAACCCAGGGGCUAUUUAAACUGAAAAAAGCCCAGGAACUGAAGCGUGGUUUGCGUACUCCCCUCCCUGCGAUCGGCGGCUCUCUUCUCUCGCAUGGGAGCUCACCUGUGCCCUCGUGGGAAGAGGGCCCAGGUGACCUUCGAGUGUCGUCUACCAGUGUCAUUAACAUCGUCGGCCUUGAUCAAUCCACCGGCGGAUGAAGGCCUCCCUCCCGCAAGCUGCUGCCACCUCUCACGAUCCUGCGAUGUAAAAAAAAAAAAAUCCGCUCCAUCUCAGCGACGCAGGACCACUGCGUCACGUUAGCGAGAGAUGUUAACUACCUCGCCUGGUACACAGGAGGUCGUGGGUUCGAUCCCGACCCUGACGUCUGCUGCUGUAUAUUUGGAGUUUGUGUGUGUGCGUGUGUGUCUCUCUCCCCGUGGUCGCGUGGAUUUUUCUCCGGGUCCUCUGCUUUUUUUCCCCCUUCACAUUUCGAACCAAAGUGAGUUUCGAUUAUUUGGCCGCUUAUAAAUGUCCACUUGACGCGAAGCCCACUUCGUUGAGCACAUCAUUUGUGAUGUCCAGGGUCGCUUCGUCCUGCCCAUCAUAUGGUUGAUGGUCAGGACGAUCAGCCAUCUUCGGCCCUUCUUAACGAAGUGUCCUGGGCCCAAGACGAACUUACUGCUCAUGUGCGCGUUGAUAUUUUUCCCCGGGAUCCACAGAUCUCUUUCACGUCACAUCAACAACAAAAGCCGCCACUCGCUAUAUAUAAAAAUAUAUAUGUAAAUAUAUUCAUACAAAUAUUAUUGGCCACACGUCACAAAGUAGCAGCACCCUCGUGCAAAAUUAAUCUUGAUUUUCACCUAAGCCUUCCCAUGUAAACAAAUACGUGGUUUACGAAUGAAUGUUUUAUUUAUAUUUACGAUGCCGACCUCUGUGUGCAGCGAUGCGCGGGUUUUAUCUGUUGUACAUUGAGACAAAUUUUAAGUGUAGACGCGAAUGCUUGCAUUUAAAUAGAACAAUGAUAUCAUGCGAUGCUUUAUUUGUCAAUCCACUGCUCCAUUAAAGCCAUCUGGGCACCGCGUCGA